rnacentral:rRNA from 1 species
GACGAACGCUGGCGGCGUGCUUAACACAUGCAAGUCGAACGGAAAGGCCCUGCUUUUGUGGGGUGCUCGAGUGGCGAACGGGUGAGUAACACGUGAGUAACCUGCCCUUGACUUUGGGAUAACUUCAGGAAACUGGGGCUAAUACCGGAUAGGAGCUCCUGCUGCAUGGUGGAGGUUGGAAAGUCUCGGCGGUUGGGGAUGGACUCGCGGCUUAUCAGCUUGUUGGUGGGGUAGUGGCUUACCAAGGCUUUGACGGGUAGCCGGCCUGAGAGGGUGACCGGCCACAUUGGGACUGAGAUACGGCCCAGACUCCUACGGGAGGCAGCAGUGGGGAAUAUUGCACAAUGGGCGGAAGCCUGAUGCAGCAACGCCGCGUGCGGGAUGACGGCCUUCGGGUUGUAAACCGCUUUCGCCUGUGACGAAGCGUGAGUGACGGUAAUGGGUAAAGAAGCACCGGCUAACUACGUG